CCGCCAUUGAUGGGGAGGAGGGAACCUCAGAAAGCUUCAGUUGGUGUUGCGAGAAAUACGCCUCAGAUCAGAGCCGGUCGGGUCAUUUGAUGUGCCCUUGCAGCUCUGCACCAGCGAAAGCGGGUACGGCGAGAAAUCGAAAAGGACUUGGGUAUUUCUUCGGUCAAACGGUUCUCAUAAACCAUCCACCUCCAUUGCAGCCCUGUAUUUCCACGUGCUGGCACUCCGUCUUUUCUCUCUUUUCUCAUUUUCUUCCUCUUGUUAUCUCUCGUUCUCUCCCACUCUUAUUCGACAUGGAACCAGAGGGAUGGCUGGCGACACCUCAGACUUGCUUUCGCUGACCUCCGAUUUAAGAUC
rnacentral:lncRNA from 1 species